ACACAGUAACACUGAGGAAUUGGCGCACCAAGGGUUUUUCUUCCUGGUGUCAUCCUGUUGUCCUUUUUCUAAGGGAAAGAACAAAUUUCCCGCAUCUUUGGAGCAGUUUUGUCUCAGGCCAAUUCCAAUUCCAACUUCUGUUGGAAUUGAAGUGUUUGCUGUCCCACUCCUGCUGGUACUUUCUGUCCUCUUCCUGAAGAAGGUCACUUUGCCAAUUUACAGGGGACAGGCUGUCUAAAAACCAUGCUGAAGGAUUUCCACAGCCCCAGCAGGACAGAUCCUGUUCCUGGGGUUUCAGCUUGACACGGUGAAGGGUCUUGCUUGGAUCACAAGGUUGUAAGUACAGGAUUACAGAAUGAAUUACAGAAUUACAGAGCUGUGUCUCUGCUUGUCACAAUGACAAAGCCAUUUAGGCUGGAAGGGAUCUUCGGAGCUCCCUGGUCUAACCUUGGUUUCCAGCAGGAUACACUUCCCAGUCAGAUCAGUUGGCCUGAGGAUUUUAUUAGCUGAGUGCUGAAAAUCCUCGAGGACAGGGAUUCCACAGACAUUCCAGGCACCUGUCCCAGUGCUGCACCAGCCUCACAUUGAGAAAAGCUGUUGCUUAUUCCUCCCCAAAUUCCCCUUGGUGCAGUUUGUGUCCAUUGCCUCCUGUCCUUUCAGUCUGGUUUUGUCUUCCCCAUAACCUUUGUCUAGACAGCUGAAGGCAGGAAUUUGAUUCCUUGCAAUAAUCUUUCUAAUUUGGUGCAACUGGGACAGGAAAGGAGGGUGACUGCAGCCAAAGGAUCACUCAUUUCAAGUUGGCCACAUAUUCAUGGAUAUUUCCCUGCUGACCCAACUCACCCCAUGGAACAGAUUUCAUCAGCACAUCCCUGUCCCCCAGGUUAAUUCCUCUAAGCAGCACAUCCCAGAGAGCAGAAUUUUCCUGACUUUUUUAUUUUAACUGCUCUAAAUUAGAUAAUUACUUAGAGCCCUGACAGAUUUACAAGAAUAAUUGCCUGAUUUUAUGAUGCAACACUACCGAAAACAAAGAUUUCUUGAUUUAAAUCAAGUCUUGAAAAGGAAAGUCUCGCUGGAAGUGUCUGAAUAAUGUCUGAAAAAUACAGUUCAGCUGGACUACAGUUCCCUGAAGUUCAGCUGGGCACUGGGAGAGAAUCAGUUUAGAUUCUGGCCCAGCCAGCUCUGGGGAAGCAGCACAGGGAACUGGAGAUGCUUGGAACAUAAAACCCCACAGUACACAGAGAAGUGUAGGACAAGUGGGAGGACACAAGUAAGGAGAUCCACAAUAAUGAUUUAAAAACCUUGAUGAGCCCUUUAUCAGCAAUCUGAGUUGAAUUUCCAACCAACUUCUUGGGGUUUUUUCUAUUUUUCUUUCCACUUCUAGUCAUUCAAAACAGCUACUUGUUCCAGCAGUAUCGACCCUGCAUUGAAUUUUAUCCACUCUGUCCUCUUUCAUUUUGACUGGCAGCAUUUUUGAACUCUAAACAGUAGGAUACUCUAGAAUAAGUGCACUUAUUGGAAAACAAAAUAGUAAAAUACAAAAUUAUAGGAAAUUUGUCUCUUGCCAUUGUUACAUUCUGCUCAAGCAUUUUUCUUACUCUCCUCACAACUGUAAAAUGUCAAAAUGACUGUUGUAAAUCAAACAGCAGGGUUUUGGCUUCUCUGUCCCUUCCUGAUGUGCAAGUGAGGGGUCCCAGUUACUCCCUACGUGGCAUUUUGUUCCCCUUGCAAUAAAAUCAGCCCAGCUAAAUUUCUUACUGUUUUUAGUACUGCUUUGAAUGCAUCAAAAGGGAUCCUGGAGCCAGGUGGGUUUUACAGAGUCAUAAUUUUUUUGUGUUCAAUCACUUCCAAAUCCCUUUUCCAUGGGUGUGCUGGGAGAACUAAUAAUGGGCUUUUCUGCAUGUCCAUGAGAUCUGUACCAAAACCAAAUCAAGGCUUUUAUUCCAAGAGACCCUGAAGGCAAGAUCUAAGAACUGUGCAGGUGCUGCAUUCUCCCUGCAAAGUGAGCCCAGUGGGUUGAGGAGAUCUCAAAUUCCUCAGGUGACUUUGGGAGCUGGGUGGGUUUCUUCCUGCAACAGCAAACAUCUGGCUUGGAACAAGGUGCUGAAUUUCUGGGUGGCUGAGCUAGGUUUGCCUUGCCAGUGCAGAGGAAGGUGGGAUCUG